UCUUAUGGCUGAGCAAAGAAAGUGGUUUUUUGAGAUGAAAUCUAGCCUUGGUGAAGAUGCUAUGAA
rnacentral:pre_miRNA from 1 species